rnacentral:lncRNA from 1 species
GUUUGCACAAGAGUGUGACAUUUGUAACUUCACUUCAGCCUCCAGUUGGCUGCUUUCUGCAAACAAUCAGACUGAUUGCGGGCUACAACUUCAUUUACAUGAGUGCCCUUGGUGGACAGCACCUAAGCAUGGAGACUUCAUGCAAGUUUCUGCCCAGGGUCACUAUCUAGUGAAACUGAAAGGUUUCCACAUGGAAGCACCUGACCGCCACCGCCCAGUUCAGUCUUUCAGCAACAGUUUCCUAGUAGCUCCUGGUAAUUGAGGGAAACUGACCAGGACCGCUCUUUGGCAUUCUCUGAAGACCAAGAAGCAAACAGGGAUAGAUGCCCUGCCUGGAAGGGGAAAAGACUCUUUUCUAUCCUUUCUGGUUAUACUCCCAGAACUCUACGUGUGACACAGUUGGAUGUGGCAGCUCAUCCAGGGCGAAUUCACACACGUUUCAGAGACCAUCAAGCUUCAGAUAAUCAAGCAACAAGGUUUCCAGCCAGCUCCAGGUGAAGGCACCACCCCACCGCCAUCAAGAAGCACCCUGUCUCCACUAGACAGAGUGGGCUGAGAGUUCCGGGAUCUCCAACAGGCUAUUUGGUGUCAUGCUGUUUUUCUAAGUGGACUCUGACUCAUUCACUCACUAACAGAAGAGAUGACAUAGAAUUGUGUACAAUUGGAGAGCAUGAUCACUCUCCCUCCUGGAACAAGAGCCUAUAACCCUCUGGAUUCUGCAC